rnacentral:rRNA from 1 species
CAGCAGCCGCGGGAAUACGAAGGGGGCUAGCGUUGCUCGGAAUGACUGGGCGUAAAGGGCGCGUAGGCGGCGAUCAAAGUCAGGCGUGAAAUUCCUGGGCUCAACCUGGGGGCUGCGUUUGAUACUUGGUUGCUAGAGUGAGGAAGAGGGUCGUGGAAUUCCCAGUGUAGAGGUGAAAUUCGUAGAUAUUGGGAAGAACACCGGUGGCGAAGGCGGCGACCUGGUCCUUGACUGACGCUGAGGCGCGAAAGCGUGGGGAGCAAACAGGAUUAGAUACCCCUGUAGUCCCUGUCUCUUAUAC